CACCUUCUGCGGGGUUCGUCACCGAGUUCCUAUGGUUGAGCCUACGCCGAUAAAAAAGGGAGACCGACGCCGCUUUUUUUGCCCGUGCAUUUCUUCAUUGUUAAGGAUUGCUAAAGGCAGCGGCUUCUAAAAGGUCACCCACCUGUUCACGCAGGUUCAAUUACGGCUGCGGAGCGGCUCACGCGGAUUUCCC
rnacentral:other from 1 species